rnacentral:lncRNA from 1 species
AAGCCGGUUUGGGAAGAAAAGAAACUAGUCCUGCAAAUCCAUCUUGACUAUGUGAGUUACUGUAUAUCACUAAAACAAAUGUGCUUUUUUUGCUAUGCUAAAUUAAUUAUAAGUAGAUAGAUAUCAAUACUUUUGUAAAAUCAAAAUUAGACCAUUUUUAUUCUCAUUCAUCAGGUAAUUUCCGAGAUGAGUCUGAGAAAAGAUGAAGUUCCUCAACUUUUAUAAGAGCGAGGUGGGUUUGCAAAAUCCGAGGAAAAAGAAAUAUUCACUGAAUUUAAAAUUUCAAGGUAUGUUUUUAACCAUCUAUUAAUUUCUCAUUGGUUUCGUAAUCUAGAGAUUAGACUUAAUCUCUUCCCUCUUUUUAUUUGUCAUGUACAGUGGUUCCAACUGAAGCUGACAGAAGAAUGCCCCCUUGCUACAAUACAAUUGGCUAGAAAUUAAAGAGGAUGGUUUCUGGGUUCGUUUACAGUGCAAGGUGUCGUUGGAGGAUAACUUGCAUCGCUUGUUCAAUUCGAUCAUGCUUAAAGUUUGGUCAGCAAAAUUAAUAAUAAGUUUUCCAAUUAUGUUGCGUUUUUUUAUUUCAACUA